rnacentral:lncRNA from 1 species
CUCCUGGGCACCAUGCGAGCUGCUCCAAGCCUCCGCCGCGCCUCCUGCCUGCUGCUCGCCGCGAUCCUGGACCUGGCGCGCGGCUACCUGACAGUGAACAUUGAGCCCCUUCCCCCUGUGGUGGCCGGGGAUGCAGUGACCCUGAAGUGCAACUUCAAGACAGACGGCCGCAUGCGUGAGAUCGUGUGGUACCGGGUAAGUGGCAUAACUGUCUUUGUGUCCUAGGGCUGUGACAAAAUCUAUAGGCAAGGUUA